AGGACGAACGCUGGCGGCGUGCUUAACACAUGCAAGUCGAACGGAAAGGCCCUUCGGGGUACACGAGCGGCGAACGGGUGAGUAACACGUGGGUAACCUGCCCUGUACUGUGGGAUAAGCCUGGGAAACUGGGUCUAAUACCGCAUAUGACUGCAUCCUGCAUGGGGUGUGGUGGAAAGUUCUGGCGGUACAGGAUGGGCCCGCGGCCUAUCAGCUUGUUGGUGGGGUGAUGGCCUACCAAGGCGACGACGGGUA
rnacentral:rRNA from 1 species